rnacentral:rRNA from 1 species
GGUUAAGCGACUAAGCGUACACGGUGGAUGCCCUGGCAGUCAGAGGCGAUGAAGGGCGUGCUAAUCUGCGAUAAGCGCCGGUAAGGUGAUAUGAACCGUUAUAACCGGCGAUACCCGAAUGGGGAAACCCAGUGUGACUCGUCACACUAUCAUUAACUGAAUCCAUAGGUUAAUGAGGCGAACCGGGGGAACUGAAACAUCUAAGUACCCCGAGGAAAAGAAAUCAACCGAGAUUCCCCCAGUAGCGGCGAGCGAACGGGGAGGAGCCCAGAGCCUGAAUCAGCAUGUGUGUUAGUGGAAGCGUCUGGAAAGGCGCGCGAUACAGGGUGACAGCCCCGUACACAAAAGCGCAUGUGCUGUGAGCUCGAUGAGUAGGGCGGGACACGUGGUAUCCUGUCUGAAUAUGGGGGGACCAUCCUCCAAGGCUAAAUACUCCUGACUGACCGAUAGUGAACCAGUACCGUGAGGGAAAGGCGAAAAGAACCCCGGCGAGGGGAGUGAAAAAGAACCUGAAACCGUGUACGUACAAGCAGUGGGAGCCCCACCACUAAGCCAGUGGUGAACUCCACAUACGCAUCCUUUGCUGAGGAUACGGUUAACGGAGCGAAAGCGACGUUCAACCUCAAAAGAAGCAGAGGGGGCUUAGUGGUGGGGUGACUGCGUACCUUUUGUAUAAUGGGUCAGCGACUUAUAUUCUGUAGCAAGGUUAACCGAAUAGGGGAGCCGGAGGGAAACCGAGUCUUAACCGGGCGUUAAGUUGCAGGGUAUAGACCCGAAACCCGGUGAUCUAGCCAUGGGCAGGUUGAAGGUUGGGUAACACUAACUGGAGGACCGAACCGACUAAUGUUGAAAAAUUAGCGGAUGACCUGUGGCUGGGGGUGAAAGGCCAAUCAAACCGGGAGAUAGCUGGUUCUCCCCGAAAGCUAUUUAGGUAGCGCCUCGUGAAUUCAUCUCCGGGGGUAGAGCACUGUUUCGGCUAGGGGGCCAUCCCGGCUUACCAACCCGAUGCAAACUGCGAAUACCGGAGAAUGUUAUCACGGGAGACACACGGCGGGUGCUAACGUCCGUCGUGAAGAGGGAAACAACCCAGACCGCCAGCUAAGGUCCCAAAGUCAUGGUUAAGUGGGAAACGAUGUGGGAAGGCCCAGACAGCCAGGAUGUUGGCUUAGAAGCAGCCAUCAUUUAAAGAAAGCGUAAUAGCUCACUGGUCGAGUCGGCCUGCGCGGAAGAUGUAACGGGGCUAAACCAUGCACCGAAGCUGCGGCAGCGACACUCAGGCGUUGUUGGGUAGGGGAGCGUUCUGUAAGCCUGUGAAGGUGGCCUGUGAGGGUUGCUGGAGGUAUCAGAAGUGCGAAUGCUGACAUAAGUAACGAUAAAGCGGGUGAAAAGCCCGCUCGCCGGAAGACCAAGGGUUCCUGUCCAACGUUAAUCGGGGCAGGGUGAGUCGACCCCUAAGGCGAGGCCGAAAGGCGUAGUCGAUGGGAAACGGGUUAAUAUUCCCGUACUUGGUGUUACUGCGAAGGGGGGACGGAGAAGGCUAUGUUGGCCGGGCGACGGUUGUCCCGGUUUAAGCGUGUAGGUGUGUGUUCCAGGUAAAUCCGGUUCACUUUAACACUGAGGCGUGAUGACGAGGCACUACGGUGCUGAAGCAACAAAUGCCCUGCUUCCAGGAAAAGCCUCUAAGCAUCAGGUAACAUCAAAUCGUACCCCAAACCGACACAGGUGGUCAGGUAGAGAAUACCAAGGCGCUUGAGAGAACUCGGGUGAAGGAACUAGGCAAAAUGGUGCCGUAACUUCGGGAGAAGGCACGCUGACACGUAGGUGAAGUGAUUUACUCAUGGAGCUGAAGUCAGUCGAAGAUACCAGCUGGCUGCAACUGUUUAUUAAAAACACAGCACUGUGCAAACACGAAAGUGGACGUAUACGGUGUGACGCCUGCCCGGUGCCGGAAGGUUAAUUGAUGGGGUUAUCCGUAAGGAGAAGCUCUUGAUCGAAGCCCCGGUAAACGGCGGCCGUAACUAUAACGGUCCUAAGGUAGCGAAAUUCCUUGUCGGGUAAGUUCCGACCUGCACGAAUGGCGUAAUGAUGGCCAGGCUGUCUCCACCCGAGACUCAGUGAAAUUGAACUCGCUGUGAAGAUGCAGUGUACCCGCGGCAAGACGGAAAGACCCCGUGAACCUUUACUAUAGCUUGACACUGAACACUGGUCCUUGAUGUGCAGGAUAGGUGGGAGGCUUUGAAGCGCGGACGCCAGUUCGUGUGGAGCCAUCCUUGAAAUACCACCCUUUAAUGGCUGGUGUUCUAACGUAGACCCGUGAUCCGGGUUGCGGACAGUGUCUGGUGGGUAGUUUGACUGGGGCGGUCUCCUCCUAAAGAGUAACGGAGGAGCACGAAGGUUAGCUAAUCCUGGUCGGACAUCAGGAGGUUAGUGCAAAGGCAUAAGCUAGCUUGACUGCGAGCGUGACGGCGCGAGCAGGUGCGAAAGCAGGUCUUAGUGAUCCGGUGGUUCUGAAUGGAAGGGCCAUCGCUCAACGGAUAAAAGGUACUCCGGGGAUAACAGGCUGAUACCGCCCAAGAGUUCAUAUCGACGGCGGUGUUUGGCACCUCGAUGUCGGCUCAUCACAUCCUGGGGCUGAAGUAGGUCCCAAGGGUAUGGCUGUUCGCCAUUUAAAGUGGUACGCGAGCUGGGUUUAGAACGUCGUGAGACAGUUCGGUCCCUAUCUGCCGUGGGCGCUGGAGAACUGAGGGGGGCUGCUCCUAGUACGAGAGGACCGGAGUGGACGCAUCACUGGUGUUCGGGUUGUCAUGCCAAUGGCACUGCCCGGUAGCUAAAUGCGGAAGAGAUAAGUGCUGAAAGCAUCUAAGCACGAAACUUGCCCCGAGAUGAGUUCUCCCUGAGACUUAGAGUCUCCUGAAGGAACGUUGAAGACGACGACGUUGAUAGGCCGGGUGUGUAAGCGCAGCGAUGCGUUGAGCUAACCGGUACUAAUGAACCGUGAGGCUUAACCUU